rnacentral:rRNA from 1 species
GACGAACGCCGGCGGCGUGCUUAACACAUGCAAGUCGAACGGGCCUGUCUUCUUUUUUGGGGGGUGGGUUGAGUGGCGAACGGGUGAGUAUCACGUGAGUAACCUGCCCUUCGGUCCUGGAUAACCGCUUGAAAGGGCGGCUAAUACGGGGUGGUCCGGUUGGUCCGCAUGGGCUGGUCGGGAUAGAUUCACUGUUUUUGGUGUUUCGGCGGGGGAUGGGCUCGCGGCCUAUCAGCUUGUUGGUGGGGUGAUGGCCUACCAAGGCGGGGACGGGUAGCCGGCCUGAGAGGGUGGGCGGCCACACGGGGACUGAGAUACGGCCCAGACUCCUGCGGGAGGCAGCAGUGGGGGGUAUUGCACAAUGGGCGGAAGCCUGAUGCAGCGACGUCGCGUGAGGGAUGGAGGCCUUCGGGUUGUGAACCUCUGUUUCCGGUGGUGAAGGCCCUGUCCGUGUGGUGGGGUUGACGGUAGCCGGGGAUGAAGCGCCGGCUAACUACGUG